GCAGGCCUAACACAUGCAAGUCGAGCGCACCUUCGGGUGAGCGGCGAACGGGUGAGUAACGCGUAGGAAUCUGCCUGGUAGUGGGGGACAACGUUUCGAAAGGAACGCUAAUACCGCAUACGUCCUACGGGAGAAAGCAGGGGACCUUCGGGCCUUGCGCUAAUAGAUGAGCCUAGGUCGGAUUAGCUAGUUGGUGAGGUAAUGGCUCACCAAGGCGACGAUCCGUAACUGGUCUGAGAGGAUGAUC
rnacentral:rRNA from 1 species